AAACUCUACAAUGCAGGCAACUGCGAUAGGGGGACAUCGAGUGGUUGUCAUAUUGAUAACCUGUCCACCCGUCUAAAAAACGGGUGUUAGCAAGGGCCGGGCAAGACCGGUGCCAGCCGCCGCGGUAAUACCGGCGGCUCGAGUGGUGGCCGAUAUUAUUGAGUCUAAAGGGUCCGUAGCCGGCUUCGCAAGUCUCUCGGGAAAUCCAGCGGCUUAACCGUUGGUCGUCCGGGGGCUACUACGUUGCUUGGGACUGGGAGAGGUAGGAGGUACUCAGGGGGUAGGAGUGAAAUCCUGUAAUCCUUUGGGGACCACCGGUGGCGAAGGCGUCCUACCAGAACAGGUCCGACGGUGAGGGACGAAAGCUAGGGGCACGAACCGG
rnacentral:rRNA from 1 species